rnacentral:lncRNA from 1 species
AUGGCAGCGGAGCGGAAGCUUGAAUGGGCUUGUUUAAUGAACAGGCGAAGUCAUUCAUCUGCAGCCUCACGGUUCUGCAGCAAGGCUACCCCCCCCCCCCCCCCCUUUUUUUUUAAGCCCCCCCCCCCCCCCCCCCCCCCCCCCCCCCCGCCUCCUCGUGGCAUGACACAGCCAGCAAAGCAGCUGCGGAUGGUGUUUGUGCAACGCUGCCGUUCAGCAGUGCUGGGGAUAUACCAGCCUCCUUUUCAGCCUGCUCCCUGCCUGAGCUCUGCCCGCACCUUCAUGGUUAUUGCUGAGACUACUGGGGCAGCUGCUGUGCUAAACCAUGGCAGGGAAAUGGCCCUGUUGGCGCUGCCACGGAGGGUGCAGACACGCCAAGACCCCUGGCACCUGCUGGGUUUGGAAAGCCAGCCCUGCACCCACAGCACGGGCAUGGCCCCGGCAGCGUGGGCUGCACGGAGCUGGUUUACUCCCCUGACUCGCCCCACGGCUGGAGCCGGGAUCAGGCCUGCAGCUGGCGUGAACCGGCCCAUGGAAAUUCGGUGGAGCCCUGCCAGGCAGCAGCAGCUGAAGCGCUGGCACCAGAAGCUAUUUUUUAUGCAUAAAACUAGCUAUUUUUGCAUGACCUUUGGUUUCACAGCAGCACCAGCAAGGCGUGCAGGCUGCCUUUCCCUUGCGAAAGCGCGAAUGGAAGAUUUUUUAUUUUUUUUAUUUUUUUUUUUUUGCCGGACGCUUGCUUCAAAGCCGCGUUCAGGGCAGAUAAGUGAUAGCAUCUGUCAGGGUGCCAUUUUUGCACUGCGCAGCCAGCGUGGGAGCACUCCCUGUCCCCCUGCUCCCUGCCUGCUAAAAACAACUGAAACUAAUUACAUACCAGGAAUACCAGCGGCCCCGCAAAGCCUCUGCCGCACAGCGGCUCUCCCUCUCUCCCUUUUUUCCCUUCCGCCUGAUUCACCAAGGCUUUGGCCGCGCUCCAGCUUUUGGGAGGGUGGGGAGAGGCAAGGGGGGGGGCUUGGGAGGGCAGCGGCUUUUUGA